UGGCCGAGUGGCGAAAUUGGCAGACGCACAGGACUUAAAAUCCUGGGUUCCGAAAGGAGCGUGCGGGUUCGAUCCCCGCCUCGGCUAU
rnacentral:tRNA from 1 species